UACGGGGGGAGCAAGCGUUGUUCGGAUUUACUGGGCGUAAAGGGCGGGUAGGCGGCCACUGCAAGUCGGUUGUGAAAUCUCCGGGCUUAACUCGGAAAGGUCAACUGAUACUGUGCGACUAGAGUGCGGAAGGGGCAACUGGAAUUCUCGGUGUAGCGGUGAAAUGCGUAGAUAUCGAGAGGAACACCUGCGGCGAAGGCGGGUUGCUGGGCCGACACUGACGCUGAUGCGCGAAAGCCAGGGGAGCGAACGGG
rnacentral:rRNA from 1 species